rnacentral:pre_miRNA from 1 species
AACCAGCGCAGACUGGCGCGCCCCAGGGAUCUCUGGGCGAGUAUCUCUUUGAGCGCCUCACUCUCAAGCAUGACUAGGAGG